rnacentral:rRNA from 1 species
GACGAACGCUGGCGGCGUGCCUAAUACAUGCAAGUUGAGCGGUAAGGGUUGGUAUUUGUACCAAGUGGGUGAGCAGCGAAGGGGUGAGUAACGCGUGGGAAAUCUGCCUUUGAGCGGGGGACAACAUUGGGAAAGGAAUGCAAAUACGGCAGAAAAACUUGAAACACAGGUUUGAAGUUUGAAAGAUGCAAUUGCAUGAUUCAAAGAUGACCCCGCGUUGUAUUAGCUGGUUGGUGAGGUAAAGGCUCACCAAGGCGAUGAUACAUAGCCGACCUGAGAGGGUGAUCGGCCACAUUGGGACUGAGACACGGCCCAAACUCCUACGGGAGGCAGCAGUAGGGAAUCUUCGGCAAUGGACGAAAGUCUGACCGAGCAACGCCGCGUGAGUGAAGAAGGUUUUCGGAUCGUAAAACUCUGUUGGUAGAGAAGAACGUUGGUGAGAGUGGAAAGCUCAUCAAGUGACGGUAACUACCCAGAAAGGGACGGCUAACUACGUG